GUACACGCUGUGACUAGCAUAUCAAUAAGCGGAGGAAAAGAAACUAACAAGGAUUCCCCUAGUAACGGCGAGUGAAGCGGGAAGAGCUCAAAUUUGAAAUCUUAAAGGGUUUCCCUUUACGAAUUGUAGUUUAAAGAAGUGUUUUCUGUUGAGGUUUUGGUAAAAGUUCUUUGGAAUAGGACAUCAUAGAGGGUGAGAAUCCCGUAUUUGACCAUUAUUUUCAGCUUUGUGAUACACUUUCAAAGAGUCGGAUUGUUUGGGAAUGCAGUCCAAAAUGGGUGGUAAAUUUCAUCUAAAGCUAAAUAUUGGCGAGAGACCGAUAGCGAACAAGUACCGUGAGGGAAAGAUGAAAAGAACUUUGAAAAGAGAGUUAAACAGUACGUGAAAUUGUCAAAAGGGAAGCGUUUGACACCAGUGUUGUUUUUCUGAAAAUCAAUUAAAGAACUGUUUAUGCUAAGUUGUUUAGACUUUAUCAGCUAACUGUUUAGUUUUGAGCUUUUCUUUAAUGCACUUUUCAGUUAACAAGUCAACAUCAAUUUCUUCUGCUGUAAAAAAGCUUGAGGAAGGUGGCUUGAGAUUCGUCUUAAGUGUUUAUAGCCUCUUGCCUAUGCAGUCGGAGAGAUUGAGGUCUGCAGCGUAGAUCCUUCGGGGCUAAAUGCAUUUGUGCUAAGUUAUAGCAUUUUAUAGACAACUUGUUGACUAUGAUUUGUCUUGUAGCUUACUCGCUUAUGUUAUUUUACCUACGCUUAGGAUGUUGAGCGCAUGUCUCUCUCU
rnacentral:rRNA from 1 species